rnacentral:rRNA from 1 species
UACGGAAGGGGCAAGCGUUGUUCGGAAUCAUUGGGCGUAAAGGGCGCGUAGGUGGUUCUGUAUGUCUACCGUGAAAGCGUACGGCUCAACCGUAUUUUGUCGGUAGAAACUGCAGGACUUGAGGCUGGGAGGGGCUGGUGGAAUUCCCUGUGUAGCGGUGAAAUGCGUAGAGAUGGGGGAGAACACUCGUGGCGAAGGCGGCCAGCUAGACCAGUUCUGACACUGAGGCGCGAUAGCGUGGGGAGCAAACAGG